GAUGAACGCUGGCGGCGUGCCUAAUACAUGCAAGUCGAACGCGCAGCGAAAGGUGCUUGCACCUUUCAAGCGAGUGGCGAACGGGUGAGUAACACGUGGAUAACCUGCCUCAAGGCUGGGGAUAGCAUUUGGAAACAGAUGCUAAUACCGAAUAAAACUUAGUAUCGCAUGAUACAAAGUUAAAAGGCGCUACGGCGUCACCUAGAGAUGGAUCCGCGGUGCAUUAGUUAGUUGGUGGGGUAAAGGCUUACCAAGACGAUGAUGCAUAGCCGAGUGGAGAGACUGAUCGGCCACAGUGAGACUGAGACACGGCCCAAACUCCUACGGGAGGCUGCAGUAGGGAAUCUUCCACAAUGGGCGCAAGCCUGAUGGAGCAACGCCGCGUGUGUGAUGAAGGCUUUCGGGUCGUAAAGCACUGUUGUAUGGGAAGAAAUGCUAAAAUAGGGAAUGAUUUUAGUUUGACGGUACCAUACCAGAAGGGGACGGCUAAAUACGUGCCAGCCGCCGCAGUAA
rnacentral:rRNA from 1 species